AAUAAGCUUAGCCAAACACCCUAUUAAGAUGAAUUAUUGUAUAAUACAAGUGUCUAUGAAAAUAAACGAGUUCCCGCACUCUCUCGCUCUUUGUUUCUAAAGCUGACACCCAUCAUUCUUUAUCCUUCUUGAGCCCUAAUUCCCCUUCUCCCUCGUCUGCAUCUUCAAUUCCAGAGUUUGGGGACACAUUCAAGAAAAGAUGGUGGUGUGUUUUGAGGCUACACCUAAAAAGAUUGCAGCUACAGCAGCGCUUUUCCUCGCUGGUUGCUCGUUGUUUGGAUACGGUCUGUACCUUUCUCAUGUCAAUGUUGCUCCUCAACAAGAUCGGAUCGAAGCUCGAAAUGAUUAUAUUAGAGCGAGAUUGAGAAAGAUACAAGGGAAAUGAUACGUUCUAGUCCAUGGAUCAAGAUGGAAGCUAACUUGUUAUGUUAUGUUUUCUUCUUGGCUGAUGAUAUAAGUCACAGAUCAAUACAGGCAUCUUAAGUAGGUUAUGUAGUUGGGUUUUCAUCAUUGCUUGAUAAUGAUAGUUUCUUAAGGAUUAUAUAACUAGAGCUUCUGAAUCUUGCAACAGUUGAAAUAUCUUGUAAGCAACCUAUUUUGUUGCAUGUCAUACAGUGCACUAUUUAUUAUUUGCCGGAUGCUAUAAAUUUCACCAAAUGAUCAUAUAUUGGUACUUCA